rnacentral:lncRNA from 10 species
GCCACAGCAACCAGCAACAGCUGCUAUGUCAGCCUGGGCCCUAGAGUGAGAAUUAUAUGAGUGGAGGCCAUGAACAUUUAGGACAAGGUUGCUAGGAGAAAUGAAUGAAAUGAUACAAGUAAGGUAGAAAGCAGAGUGCUUUCUACAAGCCAAGAAGUGGCCCCCCAACAGAUACCAAGCUCUGGACCUCCUGGUGCCUUGAUUUUGGACUUCCCAGCCUUUUUCAGACCUGUGAGAAAGGUCCGCCGCAUCUUGGAAGGAAACUUCAAAGCUCAUUUAAAGUCAGCCUCUCACAUAGCCCUGCUGGUCUAACUUUCUUCUGAAUGUGAUUUCAGAAGUAAAACCAGGCCAGGGGCUGGGACUCAGGUGAGUCUCACUGACCGUGACCUCUGGAGAGUCAACUGAAAUGGAGAGACAAAUACCAAGGAGAUAUCAGGAAGAAUAUUGUCCCCAGUAAAUACCAAGUCACAUCAGGAAGAAUAUUGUGGAGAGAGAGGUAAAGAAUCAGGAUGGAAACAGAAAAUAGGCCGAACAAUGGCCAAGCGUCAAAAUCCUACGUCAGGACAGUGCUAGGACUGCUUUUUUCUAUAUCAGACACGUGGGCUCCUGCUGUGUCUUCCUGGAAAGCAGAGGCCAAGGAUGGAGCAGACCAAGAGGAUGCCAGGAAAAAUCACAAAGAAGCCCAGAAAGCACAGCUGGAAGCCAAGAACCCUAUUUUUGGUUUGUGUGGGUGGAAGGUGAGGGACAACAUAUAGUGACCAACAGGAUUCUUCAUUUGAAAGAGAAUGGAGUACAUCAGACCUGUGUAUUUAGGUGAAGUAUGAUAAACAUCAUCAUACUUCAAAGAUUAUGAACAUCAAAGAUUAUGGAAAGGAACAUGACUGCUUAGUUUAUUCCAUUACCAGUGAUCUGCUUGUUUGUUCAUUUGCUUACCCAUCCAUUCAUUUAUUCAUUCAUUCCUCCAUCCAUUCUCUUUCACUUAUUCUACAAUCAUGAUUGUAUGCCUACCAUAUCGCUAGAGAGAGGGCAGGAAAAGAUCCAAGGAUGUGAAUACAAUCUUCUGCUUCAUGAUGAGAGCUAAAGGAAUCUGUAAAGACUUUGUCUUUUUCAUUUUUCUCUCUCCUACAUAGACCCUGGAAAAUGUUUUAUUUCUUAUAAUUUGCCUGAGGUUUACUCAUCCACUACCAGAGCUCUGAAAACACUCUUCAGAACACUAUUUUAAAAUAAUGACAAUGACAAUAAUAGAUAACAUAUAUUCAGUGUUUUUUGUAUGUGAAGCAAUGUAAUAACCAUUUAAAAUGAUUGUAACUAUACUUUAUAAGAGUAUGAUGAAACAGGCACUAUUAAAAUGCUAGUUUUUCACACAGCUAAUAUGAGAGAGAGCUGGGAUUUGGAGCCUCCAUUCAUGGCCAUUAUAUGGUCUGUCUAAUGAAUGAAAUGUUUGACCUUAGAGAAAACUUGAAAUGCAUAGUUUUCUUUGCUGACUUGAAUGAUAUAAGUUUAAAAAUCCGAUAGUGGUUGCUAGUUGAAAAUUCCUAUUCCUUGGGAAACUGUUGAAAGUCUGUUUAGUACUAACCCCCCUCAUUAAUGGCCAUUUGCAAAGCCAGGCCAAGUUUAGUCUUCUACCAGCACUGAAGAAACACAUUUUUACCCAGAAGAAAUGAGGGUGAAAUCCUCUGAUAACUGGAAGAUGCUGGAUGUUCUGGAAAGAAAAGUAAUUUUUUUUUCAAUCUCUGGAAAUUGCUUUUUUUGUUUUAAGUAAGGGUGGCUCAGUAGAUGCUAACAGAGAAGCUGGGAUCAGCUAAUCUGGAGAAGAUUCUGAGAGAAUGAGUUGGGGAAGCUCACACUGAGAAAAUGAGAAGAUUGGUAGGAAGGGCGGUUUCUUGCUGUGUCCAAGAACAGGAAUUGAGAAAUGGUAUUAAGCUGAAGGUGAGAGGGGAACAAAGAAGACUUUGAAAGUUGCAUACAGGUUUGAAACAAAGUAUACCACAAGGAAUGGGAACAUGUAGAGCUGUUUUAAAAAUGUUUCUGUGUUUGUGUGAGUGUGUGUACUAGAUAUAUUUUUAAAAUGACUUUUCUCGGAAUUACAUCAUACUUUGAAGAUCAGCAUAGGAAGUGAAGAAGGAACAAAUAUUCACUGAGAGCAUUCACUAAGGGCCAGGAGCUCCCUGAAUACCACAUAUGCCACCGCUCUCUCUUGUGAUCCUGAAGGUCUGUGAGGCAGUUAUCACUAUGUAUGGUAUAUUUUCAAAGAAAGCAAAUAAAACCCAAUGUGACUAAGAAAGAUGCUAAAGUCAUACAGCUAAUUAGCUGUGGGUCCAGGAUUCAAACCAGUGCACCCAGCACAUGGUCUUCAAUAAAUAUUUAUUGAGCAGUGAAUACAUGAAUGAGUAAAUAAGAUGAAGCAAGCAAGCAAGCAGGUAGGCUUGUCUAACCCAAGUGUUCAUGUUCUAUCCUCUGUACUGGUGGUUUUUAAAUUGUGUGCCACAAAGGCCUUGGGUAACAUGAGGAGGGUUAGUAUGAGUGGCUGUCUAGCAGCAUGGGGCCCCAGGCUCCCUAUCUCUACUCCAACCAGGGCAUCUCUGCUUCUGUUUGUGUUAAACAUUGGGCUUUUGCCUGAGGUUUCAUUUGAAGAAGAGGGCCUUCUUCUAGAAAGUGUUUAUUACUCCUGCCCCAUGCCGUGUUCCCUCCUAAGUAUGCAUUAUGAACUAGUUAAGUUUAAUAAAGACAUAUAUUACUGUAAAGUUGGAAUUUAUACCAGUGUCUGAAUUCCAGUAGCAGCCCCCAUAUCUUGGUAAUCGAAAGCCAACUGUUUCUAAUAUCCGGCAUGCUGCUGAGGCCAUUAACAAUAGAUGAGCCAUCUAGGGCAUUAUGGCUAGCAGCCGGGACUACAACUUCAAGCUGUCUAGGUUCAACUGUGGCUCUGCCAUGACCUGGUGAAAUCUCAGGUAAAUGAUUCGACCUCUCCACACUUUAGCUUCCUCAUCCAUGAAAUGUGAUAGCUACCUUAUACAGCAUGGAAACUUUGUGCUCCAGUAAUAUGAAUGGGCUCACUAUAGCCAAGUGCACUUAGUUCCCUUGAUCUCACGUUUUUGUUUAUGCUGGCUCCCAACUUAAUGUGGUCUUCUCACUUUUCAUCUGACUGUGAAAACUCCAACCAAAGGUACUUAUAUUCCUCCCACUCAAUAAAUAUGAUGGCCUUGGUGUCAGUAAGGCGACAUGUGAAGAGAGAUAUCAGUCUGGCUUGCCAUACAUUACAAGAAUUUGCAGGCUUACCCUGACAGUCCUAGUCCAUGGGAGUGGGUGAUGGGGUACUAUUGUGUCACUGUCCGGGGUCCUGAAUAAUUAAAGAGUGCACAGUGGCUUUUACAAGAAUACUAAGAAUUAUUUAUUUGUUAAGGUAACACUAUCUGCUGUAGUAGGUAACCCUCUCUACCCCCAAAUCUGAGUAGCUUACCAUAUUAGAAGUCUUUUCCUGUUCUCAUAGGGUUCCAUUGGUGCUGGGGGUGAGGAGGGGAGGUGGUAAAGGGGUUUGUUCCACACAACCAUUCAGAGAUUCAUAUUGAUGAAGACGGCCAUCUUCAACAUAUAGUUUCCAGAGUUGUUCUGGGCUCAGUAUUUAGACUCCAGGUGGUAUAUCAGAGGAGAGAAGGAGAGUAGAGAACUGUGUGGCAGAUUUUUAUGAACCAGAUCUAGAAGGGACAUUCAUCACUGUCACUGGGAUGCUGUUAAUUAAAACUCGAGCAUACAACCAUUCCUAAGAAUAAAAGAGGCAGUGGGAUGUUGCUUAUUUGUGAGUUCAUUGGAAAAUCACUAGCUUGUUUUUGCCACAAAAUAUUUUUUAUGUUGUUACCCAAUACCCCCCCCCACUGAGACACACACACACACUCAACACAAAUACAACUAGAGCAAAAAAUUCAUUAAAUAAUCCUCUGUGUGUGAUAUAGUCUCAUAGUUUCUAUUCUAUUUUAUUGUUUUAAAGUGCUGUCAUGACCCAUUAAACUGUUAUUAUGGCUGAAUGA